UGACGUCAAGUCAGCAUGGCCUUUAUAUCCUGGGCUACACACACGCUACAAUGGGAAGGGACAAUAGGUUGCGAAGCCGCGAGGCGGAGCCAAUACCAGCAAAACUUCCCUCAGUUCAGAUUGCAGGCUGCAACUCGCCUGCAUGAAGUUGGAGUUGCUAGUAAACGCAGGUCAGCCAUACUGCGUUGAAUACGUUCCCGGGGCUU
rnacentral:rRNA from 1 species